UUGCAAGUACGACCACGAAAG
rnacentral:piRNA from 1 species